rnacentral:rRNA from 1 species
GAAGGGGGCAAGUGUUCUUCGGAAUGACUAGGCAUAAAGGGCACGUAGGCGGUGAAUCGGGUUGAAAGUGAAAGGUUGCCCAAAAAGUGGCGGAAUGCUCUCAAAACCAAUUCACUUGAGUGAGACAGAGGAGAGUGGAAUUUCAUGUGUAGGGGUGAAAUCCGAUAGAUCUAUGAAGGAACGCCAAAAGCGAAGGCAGCUCUCUGGGUCCCUACCGACACUGGGGUGCGAAAGCAUGGGGAGCGAACAGG